GCACUCCUCAGUCCACCAAGUAAAAACAAAGACAAAAGACUCUGCUUUCACUUGGUGGACUGAGCUGUCAAUCAAAUGGCUCUGGGCGGGGCUUUCUCUCCAGGGUGGGUAGUCGUACCUGAUCACAGGAUUCCUGCCUGACAGCAGCUCCUAGCACGGCUGAAGUCAAGUGAUGGCACCGUGGCGCUUCUGCUGAUUCUACCAGCAGACACUGAAAGGGCUCUGAUAGUUCGCCUUGGUCUGGAUCACUGGAAACAUCUAGUCUGAUGGACUGAGAGCUACAGAGAACAUGAACAUCCAGCUGUGGUUGUCUGAAGAGUCUUUUCUCCUUCAUCACUGUGAGGAAGAGAAGCACUGAUGUCCUCCUCAUCCUUCCAGUAAUAACAAUAAUGCUGCAGAUUCAGCUCCUCUCUUCAUAAUACAACUUGUCUUGUGACUGUUCAGUAUUUACACUUCACUGUCAGCAACACGUUGUUUAUUUCAUCCAUUUAUUUCAUGUGUUUACACAUCUUUACAGUUCACAAUUGUUAAAUAAUGUAGUUUUUAAAUGUGCAAUAAAGGUAAUAAUGAA